ensembl:lncRNA
CACAAGUGCUUAGACAGCCAGGAAAGGUGCCCUCCUAGAACUGUCUUCUGAGCAUAAGGAAAGACUUGUGGGAGGUGUGACGGUAGGUGCCUGUCUUGGCCACAGUGAUCAUUAAACAGCUGAGUUCAAAAGAGGUCAGCAGAGUUACCACCCUGGAUCUUACGAGAGCAAACUUUAAGCUUCUCAGAGAGCCAGUUAGCAGCAUCCCCUGGCAAUCUGCUUUAGAGAGUUCAGGAGCUCUGUGAGAGCUGCUCAUUUCUUAAGAACCACCUUUUAAAAACACGGGAGCAAACAAUCCCAUUGUGUCAAGCAAGUAGAAGAGAAUAUCAGCUUUGCUGAACAGGGAACUCCUUUUGGAACGUGGGCAGAAAAAUAGCCUGUGGUCUCUGGAAGCAAGGUCAGGCUUCACAGGGAGAUUAAAGAGCUACAGUUCACAGUUGUAGGGAGAAAAUAAGAGAAGCCAAAGCUCAACUGGAGUUGACACUGGCCAUUGUGGUAUCUGAUAACAAAAAAGGAUUUUUUAAGUGUGUCAACAGCGAGAGGAGACCUAAGGAAAACGUUGGACUGAUACUUGAUGAAGAUAGUUACCUAACAAAUUGGAAUGAGGAAAAAGCAGAGACAUCUAAUCCACUUUUUGCCCCAGCUUAUAGUAUUAAUGAUAGUUCUUGGGUUGCUGGCCCUGUGAGCUGGAGGGACAUGAGUCAUGACUGAGGGAGCAUGAUCUGUAGUCACUAAAAGUGUAAGAGAAUAGUUGCAUCAGCACAGUGUUCAUAGUUUGUAGGACCUGACAGGGUUCACUCCAGAGCGAAGGACCCCUCGAGAAUUUACUGAAGGUCUUACAUAUCUGGGGAGUAGGUGUAGCAACAGCAAACCUACUGAGAAUGCUGAAGUGGAAGGUGCUGCUGGCCCUCUGAAGGGAUGAGGAGCCUAAAGCAGACACGUUGGAACCGAGCACUGGGCAACCAGCCAUCAACAGCAUGAUGUUCUACGAAGGAAAAUGCUGAAUUCUGCAGCUGGUACAGAGCAGUGCUCGACUCGGGUACACGUGGAGAUGGGUGGCUGGAGAGCAGCUCAGCGAGCGGAGCCCGGGGUGCUGAUGGCAGCAGGCUCAGCGUGAGCCAGCAGCGCCCCCUGCUAGUCAAGGGAGUAAAUGUAUUUUGGGGGAUUCAUUGCACGCAGCAUAGCCAGCCAGACAAGAGGGAAUUCUCUCACUAUAUUUAGCAUUGGUGGAGCCUCACCUGAAAUAUUGUGUGCAGUUCUGGGCUCUGUGAUAUUCAAACCACAUGAAGGUGCUUUGAGAGGAAGGCACCAAAGGUGGUGACAGGGCUGGAAGGGAUGUCCUGUGAGGAGGGGCUGAGGCCACUUUUCUCAGUUUGGCAAAGAGGAGGCCGAGAGGUGACCUCAGUGCUCUGCAGCUCUCUAAGGAGGGGAAGAAGAGGGAGGCGCUGGGCUCUGCUUCUGGGAACCGAUGGCGUUAGGGAAAUUCCAUUACCCUGAGCGUGGUCAAACACUGGAACAGCCCUCCUUUCCUAGGAAGGUGGUUGAUGCCCUAUGCUUGUCUCUGUUGAAGAGACGUGGAUAAUGCCCUCAAUGUGCUUUAACUGGGAAGCCCAGAACUGGACACAGUAGUCAAAUGUGGCCUCACCGGGGCAGAGUAGGAAGGGAGGAUCAAAUCCCUCGACCUGCUGGCCAUGCUCUUUUUAAUGCACCCCAGGAUCCCACAGGGGCAAACUGCUGGCUCAUGGCCAACCUGUUGUCCACAAGAACAUCCAGAUUCUUCUCCACAGAGCUCCUCUCCAGCAGGUCAUCCCAUUUCAGUG